rnacentral:rRNA from 1 species
AUUGAACGCUGGCGGCACGCUUAACACAUGCAAGUCGAGCGGUAACAUGGUUUGUAGCAAUACAAACUGAUGACGAGCGGCGGACGGGUGAGUAACACGUAGGAACUUGCCCAAUAGAGGGGGACAACCAAGGGAAACUUUGGCUAAUACCGCAUAUACUCGAGAGAGGAAAGCUGCCGCAAGGUGGCGCUAUUGGAGAGGCCUGCGUCUGAUUAGCUAGUUGGUGAGGUAAAGGCUCACCAAGGCGAGGAUCAGUAACUGGUCUGAGAGGACGACCAGUCACACUGGGACUGAGACACGGCCCAGACUCCUACGGGAGGCAGCAGUGGGGAAUCUUGGACAAUGGGGGCAACCCUGAUCCAGCGAUGCCGCGUGAGUGAAGAAGGCCUUCGGGUCGUAAAGCUCUUUAGGUCGGGAGGAAGGUUGGUAGUUUAAGGGAUAACCAAUUUGACUGUACCGACAGAAUAAGCACCGGCAAACUCUGUGCCAGCCGCCGCAGUAA